UUUAGAGCACAUUUUUGAUAAGUGUGCAGAGUGGGUGUGUUAUGGCCGCAGCCAGUGUUAUUUUUCUUCUUUUGUGCGGUGAAUUAAACGCGGAUGGUCAUUUUAAUACAACGUGCGAUGUGCAAGAAAAUUUCCAUAAGACGAUGAACUGCUUUGCAUCCGUUUUCGGCCAAAAGCUAGCUCAAGACGAGUAAAAAAUACGCCGGCGUCUGCCCUGCUAGAGCGCACCUCCAUCAUCACCGGGCCCCGUCGUAGCAAAAGGCGAUAGCGACAGCCGACUUGUUUUCCACUCGCGUCAUCUCUGCGCUCGCGGACUGAUUUUUUGAAAUUAUUUAAGUUCAAGUCAAUUCCUCGAUGGAGAGACUUUCUAUAAGAUCAUCUAUAAUGGAAACUCCGUUCAACCUCCUCUGAUUGUGAGCUACGGACUAUUACAGACAUCGUGACCUGCCAAGUUAGAACAAUUUGCUUUGAGGGAGAAGACAGUUCCACGCAGAUCCAUGCAGUGCAAUUAUUAUCCUUAUUUAUGAUUUCUAUACUGUAAUUGUGUUGUAUUUAAA